GCCUAGCCCUGAUUGAAGCGGCAUCCUUUAAUUUUUUUCUUUAAAAAAUUAAAGAUAGAGCGGAAAGCAGGAUUAGCU
rfam:Flavobacterium sp. EM1321 contig00001, whole genome shotgun sequence.